rnacentral:tRNA from 1 species
GCUUCCAUAGCUCAGCCGGUAGAGCACUUCCAUGGUAAGGAAGGGGUCGCAGGUUCAAGUCCUGUUGGAAGCU